rnacentral:tRNA from 1 species
GUUGGUGUGGUAUAAUGAUUUGAGCAUUGGACUAUGACUCUAGAGACCAGGGUUCGAAUCCCUGAUCAACC